UACAAGACGCUCUUCCGGUAUGAUAUGUUUGCAGCCAACAUGUACACAAAAUAAACAAAAUAAGGGCCUGAAAUUUCAACUGCAGGGCCAAGGAGUUUUUACUUUCCUCAGUAAGCAAGUCUGUUAUGAGAUUUAUCUCCAUGAAAAUAUGUACAAAGCUGUGACUUUAUUUUUAUACUGUAUUUUGCAAUGUGUAUGGGAAGGGGGGUGGAGAGAAGCUUGUCUCAAAGCGUCCUGUAUUUUUGGUACUUAAUUUUCAUCUCCCUUAUGUUCCUUCUUUCUCAGAUUGAGCAGUUGUCCUCAUCAGAAACAUCUACCAAGUGGGCAGGCAUAAUAUAGCUUUGUAAGCAGGCAGAAUUCAUGUUUCUCAUCCUCAUGAAAUUUAGCCUGGCCACACUUACUACAUUAUACAAUAUUAGAUUUUCUGGUGGAAAUAAACAAAAGAUCACCAUACUAAGCACCAAGUGUCUAGGCACAGCUUGUGGCAGGACUUCACAUAAAGCAGGGAAGCUACAGGAUUUGAGACAGCACAGUUUAUGGAUGAAGGUUAACUGACUUUUUAACUGACUUAAAAACGCAGAAAGAAAGGACCAACACAUAAAAGACAGACAUUUUGUGGGACGAGCCAUCCAGUUGAAUUCAGGCAUAAGGCAGUGGUGACUUCUCUGUCAGUUACUAUCAAUUUGACAUGUAUUAUGUAUACGAGUGGGUAGAGAAAGUGGGAGUUUGGGUUAAAAUGCUUUUUUGAGGGGUCCUUACCAAACAUUUGUCUAAGAAAGUUAGUGUCAUGGAAGACAAGGUGGUCAGCCUCAGAGACCCAGAUCUAGCACCUAUAUCAAUUGCUUUGAUACAAUUUAGCAAAGUGUGAAUUUUUUCUUUCUGGUUGAUGCUCUUUAACAUAUUUAAAAUAUCUUUAACAUCUUUCAGAAAUUGAUUUUUCUACCAAUAUUACUGAAGUUUGUAUUUCUUUUUUUUACAGAUAAGUCACCAAUAGUUGAAGGCUUAUUUCUGAAUUACACUGCAUUGAUAACAAGCAAAAUCCCAUAUGUUCUCAGAAUUUGAGUGGGAAACGGCUAUGACAGUUGAAUGAGGAGAGGAGAGGAGGGGGCUUGGAGCAGGAAAGAGCAGGUGGUCUGUUCCAAUUUGGCAGGUGUUUCGCCAGGCCCUGGGGUCCUGUCUAUGAAUCAGGCUGGACUUGCCCCUGCCAGCCACCACACUGGAAAAGUAGUUCCAGAUUUCUAUCAGCACUGACUUGGGGGGCAAUGGAAUGAUAUUACUGCAUUUUGCAAAAGCAUAUGGCCUUUUUCUUGGGUUUGCUCUGGGACCCAUCUUCUGCUGAAAUGCAUUACACAGAGCUCAUCUCUAACAAAAUCACGUUCCUAUGUGGCUAACAUUACAGAUGAAAAUCUUGAACAUCAUGUGUUUACUCAAACACAGAAUCUAGACUUCCAAAUCUGCUUCAUGUGACCAUGAAGCCUUCAUAAAUGGAGUGGAGAUUUUUAGGUGGGGCAGAGGGAGAUGACAUUUAAUAUCAAAAGCCACACGGUUGUCAUGGUUUUCAGGAGCUCAAGUGCAGCCUAUGUAUGUAAGGAACAAAAUGUCAAAUUUAGUUUCAGUUUGAGUUUCUGCCAUUGAAAAUUCAAAUUCAAGUCAAAAUAUCCCCCUCUGCACACAGGGCAG